CUACCCAGAUCUACGGAACAACAGAGGGAAACUUCUGCUAAUACCGUAUACGCCCUACGGGGGAAAGAUUUAUCGGAUUUGGAUGAGCCCGCGUAAGAUUAGCUAGUUGGUGAGGUAAUGGCUCACCAAGGCGACGAUCUUUAGCUGGUCUGAGAGGAUGAUCAGCCACACUGGGACUGAGACACGGCCCAGACUCCUACGGGAGGCAGCAGUGGGGAAUAUUGGACAAUGGGCGCAAGCCUGAUCCAGCCAUGCCGCGUGAGUGAUGAAGGCCUUAGGGUUGUAAAGCUCUUUCAGUGGGGAAGAUAAUGACGGUACCCACAGAAGAAGCCCCGGCUAACUUCGUGCCAGCAGCCGCGGUAAUACGAAGGGGGCUAGCGUUGUUCGGAUUUACUGGGCGUAAAGCGCACGUAGGCGGUUUGUUAAGUCAGAGGUGAAAUCCUGGAGCUCAACUCCAGAACUGCCUUUGAUACUGGCAAGCUCGAGUCCGGAAGAGGUAAGUGGAACUCCUAGU
rnacentral:rRNA from 1 species